AUUGAACGCUGGCGGAAUGCUUUACACAUGCAAGUCGAACGGCAGCACGGACUUCGGUCUGGUGGCGAGUGGCGAACGGGUGAGUAAUGUAUCGGAACGUGCCCAGUCGUGGGGGAUAACGUAGUGAAAAUUACGCUAAUACCGCAUACGAUCUAUGGAUGAAAGCGGGGGAUCGCAAGACCUCGCGCGAUUGGAGCGGCCGAUAUCAGAUUAGGUAGUUGGUGGGGUAAAGGCCCACCAAGCCAACGAUCUGUAGCUGGUCCGAAAGGACGACCAGCCACACUGGAACUGAGACACGGUCCAGACUCCUACGGGAGGCAGCAGUGGGGAAUUUUGGACAAUGGGCGAAAGCCUGAUCCAGCCAUUCCGCGUGCAGGAUGAAGGCCCUCGGGUUGUAAACUGCUUUUGUACAGAACGAAAAGGUUUCUACUAAUACUAGGAGCUCAUGACGGUACUGUAAGAAUAAGCACCGGCUAACUACGUGCCAGCCGCCGCGGUAA
rnacentral:rRNA from 1 species